AGCCAUGAGGGCGAUCUGGCUGCGACAUUUUGUCACCCCAUUGAUCGCCAGGGUUGAUUCGGCUGAUCUGGCUGGCUAGGCAGGUGUCCCCUUCCUCCCUCACUGCUCCAUGUGCAUCCCUCCCGAAGCUGCACGCUCGGUGGAAGAGGACGACGUCCUAGGUAUAGAAGGAGUGUACUGAGGUCUCCAGUCUUCGGUCCCAGGUAUACGACAGCUGCGCUCCCCUGCUAGAAUCUCAAAACAAGCUUCUUUAUGCUACUCCAUUUUAUUCUCCCCUGAAUUCCCUCUCCUUUAGUCAAUCAACAUUCCAAGGAAGUGAGCAUGCUCAGUAUUUAUUG
rnacentral:snRNA from 1 species